CGGUUCAGGCCAGUUUCUGUCUGUCAUCUUGCUGCCUUGGGUAUCCCUGCUCAGCCCUCAUCCUUGGCAGACAGAUAGAGAGGUGGCCGACACAGAGAAAACUCCAUAACUGUGAGUUAAUACAAAUGUCCUGCCUUUGUUUUUAGCCCGUUAUUCAUAGUCAACCCUCUGAGGAAGUGAGUGCAAGGGACAGGAGUUACUCAAGGGUAACCGCAGGGUCAUCUCUUAGAGAUGAUGGAGGCAUGCUGACUGGAGGGAUGAGAUGCUUGGUACACACCUCUUCUUCCUCUGUCUGGGAUGACACUUAAAGGCAAGAUGAAAUUCAGUGUGUUUGCUUGAAUUGGAAAAGCCAUUCCAAUGAUGUGUUGAAGAUAAAAUCAGACAAGGGAGAAGGAUAUGAGUAUUGGAUACAGCAUGGUAGGUAGAAUCCAGUUGCAAUCUUAGUUGGGGACCAUCCCAAAGCAUCUGCUCAUUGUGUUUGAGCUUUUAUCUCCUCCACAAAGCACUGAGGAACUGUUCACUGUGUAGGAUGCUGGUGAGGGUUCAAGUCCAGGAGCACCUGUUAAAUUCCUGCUGUGUUACCUACAGCCAUGCUGCAGUCUUCCUGUCUGCACAGAGGUCAUCUAAAGGAAAGAGGCAUACGCACAUGGAAAACACUGCGAAAGGGCAGGCAGAAGGUGACAGAAGGAGAGUGAAGAGGAACUUCCAUCCGUCCUGGGGACAGGAGGUGUUACUGUGGUGUUUCUGAAGCUCCCCAGAGGAGAUGCUGGGACCCAAGGUCAUGGGACAGGGAAAGAGUGUGCAGUCCAGGCAGAGUCACGAGAACCGUUUAGCCAGGAGUGAUGGGACACCAGUGGACACAGCAUGAGGGUCUUAAGCAAGUUCAAGGUCUAUGUUAGCAAUGAUCAUCAUUAUUCACCAGUAAAUAUGGCUUCAAACAAGCUCUCAGCUCACAUCUGGCUUCUUGAAUCACCACCUGGAGUUCCUACUGUGGCUUGGUACACUACUGACCCUGUGUUCGACAGAUCCCCACCCAGUCGUGUGCUGGAGUGAGUUACAAUUAUCUGAGCUCAGCUGCUAAGAGUGGCAAGUGUGAGGCUGUUGGUAAAAUUUGAGUUGUGUCACCUGCAAUUAAAUAAAGUAUCUCAAAGCCAGA